rnacentral:misc_RNA from 1 species
AAUUACAGAGCAUUGUUCAUGAGAAACAAGACCAUCAAGAUUGUAUGAAAAAACACCACGAGCCACGAGGGAACUGAAACUGAGUAAAAGUAAAAGUUUCUAUUUGGUAGCCUGUGCAAUUAUAUUGCUGAUCGAACUAGCCUGCUCUUUGGCUGUUUCCACCAAGGAAUCCUGAGCAGCUAUGAGUCUGGCCACAGUCUUCUUGCUCGACUCCUGGAGCUCACCAGCAAUCAGAAUCUCAUCCAGUAUAUAGUAUGCCUUGUGAAAAUU